GGGCCUUUAGCUCAGCUGGUUAGAGCAUCCGGCUCAUAACCGGACGGUCCAGGGUUCGAGUCCCUGAGGGCCCA
rnacentral:tRNA from 2 species